rnacentral:misc_RNA from 1 species
CCGAGUGAGGGCCCUCUGGGUCCAACCUCCCACCCGUGUUUACUUACCGUGUUGCUUCGGCGGGCCCGCCUUCGCUGGCCGCCGGGGGGCUCACGCCCCCGGGCCCGCGCCCGCCGAAGACCCCCUCGAACUCUGUCUGAAGAUUGUAGUCUGAGUGAAAAUAUAAAUUAUUUA